rnacentral:rRNA from 1 species
UACGUAGGGUGCGAGCGUUGUCCGGAAUUAUUGGGCGUAAAGAGCUCGUAGGCGGUGUGUCACGUCGGCCGUGAAAACCUGGGGCUUAACUCUGGGCGUGCGGUCGAUACGGGCAUCACUAGAGUUCGGCAGGGGAGACUGGAAUUCCUGGUGUAGCGGUGAAAUGCGCAGAUAUCAGGAGGAACACCGGUGGGCGAAGGCGGGGUCUCCUGG